rnacentral:rRNA from 1 species
GAUGAACGCUCGCGGCAGGCCUAACACAUGCAAGUCGAGGGAGAAGCCCUUUCGGGGGCAGAAACCGGCGCACGGGUGCGUAACGCGUAUGCAACCUACCUUUCACAGGGGGAUAGCCCGAAGAAAUUUGGAUUAAUACCCCAUAAUACUAUUGGAUGGCAUCAUUUGAUAAUUAAAACUGCGGUGGUGAAAGAUGGGCAUGCGUCCUAUUAGCUAGUUGGAGUGGUAACGGCACCCCAAGGCUACGAUAGGUAGGGGUCCUGAGAGGGAGAUCCCCCACACUGGUACUGAGACAGGGACCAGACUCCUACGGGAGGCAGCAGUGAGGAAUAUUGGGCAAUGGUCGGAAGACUGAACCAGCCAUGCCGCGUGCAGGAAGAAUGCCUUAUGGGUUGUGAACUGCUUUUAUAUGGGAAGAAUAAGGUGUACGUGUACAUUGAUGACGGUACCAUAUGAAUAAGCAGCGGCUAACUCCGUG